rnacentral:rRNA from 1 species
GUCCACGCCCUAAACGAUGCGAACUGGACGUUGGGAGCAACUAGGCUCUCAGUGUCGAAGCUAACGCGUUAAGUUCGCCGCCUGGGGAGUACGGUCGCAAGACUGAAACUCAAAGGAAUUGACGGGGGCCCGCACAAGCGGUGGAGUAUGUGGUUUAAUUCGAUGCAACGCGCAGAACCUUACCUGGUCUUGACAUCCACGGAACCUUUGAGAGAUCGAAGGGUGCCUUCGGGAACCGUGAGACAGGUGCUGCAUGGCUGUCGU